GCUGAAAGCAUCUAAGCACGAAACUUGCCCCGAGAUGAGUUCUCCCUGAGACUGUAAGUCUCCUGAAGGAACGUUGAAGACGACGACGUUGAUAGGCCGGGUGUGUAAGCGCAGCGAUGCGUUGAGCUAACCGGUACUAAUGAACCGUGAGGCUUAACCUUACAACGCCAAAGAAGU
rnacentral:rRNA from 1 species